rnacentral:rRNA from 1 species
AGCGAACGCUGGCGGCGUGCUUAACACAUGCAAGUCGAGCGGUAACAGGCGUAGCAAUACGUGCUGACGAGCGGCGAACGGGUGAGUAAUGCUUCGGAAUCUUCCUUGUAGUGGGGAAUAACCUGGGGAAACUCAGGCUAAUGUCGCAUACGAACCAUGGUUGAAAGCGGGGGAUCGCAAGACCUCGCGCUAUAAGAUGAGCCGAAGUCGGAUUAGCUAGUUGGUGGGGUAAAGGCCUACCAAGGCGACGAUCCGUAGCUGGUCUGAGAGGACGACCAGCCACACUGGGACUGAGACACGGCCCAGACUCCUACGGGAGGCAGCAGUGGGGAAUAUUGGACAAUGGGGGCAACCCUGAUCCAGCGACGCCGCGUGUGUGAAGAAGGCCUGCGGGUUGUAAAGCACUUUUAGUGGGGACAAAAAGCCGAGGGCUAAUACCUUUCGGUCUUGAUUUAACCCAAAGAAAAAGCACCGGCUAACUCUGUGCCAGCAGCCACCGUAAUAC